GAUGAACGCUGGCGGCGUGCUUAACACAUGCAAGUCGAACGAAGCAAUCAGACGGAAGUUUUCGGAUGGAAGACUGAUUGACUGAGUGGCGGACGGGUGAGUAACGCGUGGGUAACCUGCCUCAUACAGGGGAAUAACAGUUAGAAAUGACUGCUAAUACCGCAUAAGCGCACAGUAUCGCAUGAUACAGUGUGAAAAACUCCGGUGGUAUGAGAUGGACCCGCGUCUGAUUAGCUAGUUGGUAAGGUAACGGCUUACCAAGGCAACGAUCAGUAGCCGGACUGAGAGGUCGAUCGGCCACAUUGGGACUGAGACACGGCCCAGACUCCUACGGGAGGCAGCAGUGGGGAAUAUUGGGCAAUGGGCGAAAGCCUGACCCAGCGACGCCGCGUGGAGGAAGAAGGUUUUCGGAUUGUAAACUCCUGUCUUCGGGGAAGAUAAUGACGGUACCCGAGGAGGAAGCCACGGCUAACUACGUGCCAGCA
rnacentral:rRNA from 1 species